rnacentral:rRNA from 1 species
AUUGAACGCUGGCGGCAGGCCUAACACAUGCAAGUCGAGCGGAUGAAGGGAGCUUGCUCCUGGAUUCAGCGGCGGACGGGUGAGUAAUGCCUAGGAAUCUGCCUGGUAGUGGGGGAUAACGUCCGGAAACGGGCGCUAAUACCGCAUACGUCCUGAGGGAGAAAGUGGGGGAUCUUCGGACUUCACGCUAUCAGAUGAGCCUAGGUCGGAUUAGCUAGUUGGUGGGGUAAAGGCCUACCAAGGCGACGAUCCGUAACUGGUCUGAGAGGAUGAUCAGUCACAAUGGAACUGAGACACGGUCCAGACGCCUAAGGGAGGCAGCAGAGGGGAAUAUUGGACAAUGGGCGAAAGCCUGAUCCAGCCAUGCCGCGUGUGUGAAGAAGGUCUUCGGAUUGUAAAGAACUUUAAGUUGGGAGGAAGGGCAGUAAGUUAAUACCUUGCUGUUUUGACGUUACCAACAGAAUAAGCACCGGCUAACUUCGUG